UAGGGAAUCUUCCACAAUGGACGCAAGUCUGAUGGAGCAACGCCGCGUGAGUGAAGAAGGUUUUCGGAUCGUAAAGCUCUGUUGUUGGUGAAGAAGGAUAGAGGUAGUAACUGGCCUUUAUUUGACGGUAAUCAACCAGAAAGUCACGGCUAACUACGUGCCAGCAGCCGCGGUAAUACGUAGGUGGCAAGCGUUGUCCGGAUUUAUUGGGCGUAAAGCGAGCGCAGGCGGAAGAAUAAGUCUGAUGUGAAAGCCCUCGGCUUAACCGAGGAACUGCAUCGGAAACUGUUUUUCUUGAGUGCAGAAGAGGAGAGUGGAACUCCAUGUGUAGCGGUGAAAUGCGUAGAUAUAUGGAAGAACACCAGUGGCGAAGGCGACUCUCUGGUCUGCAACUGACGCUGAGGCUCGAAAGCAUGGGUAGCGAACAGG
rnacentral:rRNA from 1 species